rnacentral:misc_RNA from 1 species
AAAAACAUAUAUUAAAUAUAAAAUAGAGAAUGAACAUCUUUAAUUAUGUAAACUGGGACAUAUAUAGAAAUGUUAGUGUGUCUAUAACGUGCUGUCCCUACCUAUGAUGGAAGCCAACAAAGAUGGCCUAAUAUUAUGAACUGAAUUACAAACUACAAAAAAUAAUAAUGGAUACAUUUCUUUCUCUUUCUUUCUUCUCCUCCCUCUUUUCUAAAUAUUAAAUUCCCAUCUCUCGUAAAUCAGGGUGGACGGGUUUAAUUUCUUUUGAGACUAAAGUGUUUUGGUCAGCUACAAGACACGUACCGAGUCUAGAUCAGAAGGACAUCGCCAAAAUUUGCAAGUACAUGCUUCUAAGAAUUCUUGAAAUUCCAAUACGUAAGCACUCCAUGGUUUGUGUCCUAAUAUCUGAUUGGCCCAUCCAGGCUCCCUGAUGCAAACUGUUGAACAAUUGGAUUGCUUGAUGUGGUGAAUUCAUGAGUCAUCCCUUGCCAAACGAUCUUUC